UCGAGUUUACAGCUCUUUUAGAAUCUGCCUAGAAGCUUUUCCAGUUUUUGCCAGAAACACCCCA
ensembl:snRNA U7 U7 small nuclear RNA